UCCAAUCCAGUUCUAUGACUCUGAGUCCUCCAUUACCCUGCAGCCUAAGACCGGUUACUCACUGAAGCUAAGCAGGGCUGAGCCUGGUCAGUACCUGGAAGGGAGACCACUUGGGAACAUUAGGUUGCUGUUGGCA
ensembl:rRNA 5S_rRNA 5S ribosomal RNA